CUUUUAUACAUAGUUUGCUUACAUUAGCCAUGGUAUAUGCAAAUACAGUACAGACUAUAAGAUUUAUUACUUCCUUGUAUUACGUUAUUCUGACAAUGGAAAGAUAAGCUUUUGCAUACGUCUGGAAAAGAAUAUCCUUAAAAUCGGAAUGGGCAAGACAUCCUGAAAUUUUAGCAUUGUCUUACAUCCUAUAGAAGAAAUACCUUAGUCUGUCACAGUCAGCAUAUUGACUUUAAGUAUUCAAUAUCCCUUCAGUCAGC